rnacentral:lncRNA from 1 species
CCAGGGUACAGGUCAGGUUAAUGGGACCUGUAAGUAGAAAUGGGAGGAGGAGGCUGCAGGAUCUUACCAUGCAGAGUGUGUUUCCAGUAACCUGCCCAGCUGGAUCCUGAGGAAGAAGAAUCUUAUAAAGAAGAAGUUGGUAAUAUUGAAGCAGGAGAGCAAGGAAGUACAGGCUGAUUGGGCCAUCAUCCAUCAAUAUUUGGUGGACUUGAACCUGAGUGGUAAAGACUAACAGGAGAAGACCAGCAACCUUGAGACUCAAGAACAUCAGGUCUCAGAAACUGCAAGAUAGCUGGGAUUGGCCACAGCAGAAGAAGAGAGCAUCUUGGAGAAUGAGUUGCCACCCCAGGAGGCCCCUGCUGAACACCAUCCCCAGCGUCCACAAUCUUCCUUGGAUGAAUCUUCUUCCAUAUAAUUCCUUUUCUUAGGGUGAAUAGGCCUUUACUAAGAAGCCAUGGCUG